UCGAAGACACGUUAAUUUAUGUCUGUAUUAAAACGGUGCUAAAAUAAAGUCAAGUCUAGACGAUCACCCGUUUAUGGGUGUAAGACAAUUGAUUAUUAUUUACCACAAUUUUUUUUUUUUUAAAGAUAAUGCAAUUAAAACGUAGGUUUGUUAACUUUAAAAAAAUAAUUAUACUGUACGAGGUUUUUUAUUGAUCUCUUUAGUUUUUAUCAUAACCUAUGGAAAUUACUGCUUUAGGUUUCAUGUGUUUCGACAUCUACGAGGCCACGGCGGAUAAAUGGUUCGAUUAUUUUUAAAAAAACGAUCGUUUGGCUAUACAAUAUUCUUCUAUAAAUGAAUAUGUACCAGUUUAAUAUAAAUAAUAAAUGCUAUCGAUAGGUAUUAGGUUUUUUAAACGUUUUAAACGUUUAUGCCUUUAAAUAAGAACCACUUGCUUAAAAGACAUUCCAGUUCUGGUGGGGGGUCCUUGGCCAACAUACUAUUACGUGGUAAAUGAGCUAUCAAACACAAUCGGUCGGAUUACCGAGGCCAAUGGUUUGAUAAAACGCCAUAAUAUAUAAAGGCUUAGUUUGUUCCUGCGCAACGAUAUCGACGCAAUAUACAAGACCUUAAUUAUAUACAUGGUGCGGAUAGGCAAUUCAGCCAGUACAGUCGCAGUAGCAAGCAAAUAAACUCGGAGAAUCCGACGAGAACUAAAGAACUACAUCAACUACAUCAAUUACAGUACACUCGAUAAGAUGUGGAACACCAAGACAAAUAUACCUAGUUAAAAGCAUUGCAAUAUUUUUGAUUUUGUAUCAUACAAUUUAUUUAUAAUACGUAUAACUAAAUCGUUUCUUGCGUUAUAUAUAUAAUAAAAGAGUAAUUCUAUUAUAAGUACCGGUAAAAGUACAUGACACGUGUAUAACGUGUGUCGAUAAUAUGACUGAAAAAUGUUCAAUACCUCGAUGUGUUAUUGGAACAUAAAUUUGUGAUUUUAUGUGUUGAUUGAAUAAUUGAAUACUUCAAUUUUUUUUAUUUUUACACUUAAAAUAAACUAGUCGUUUACUUAAUGAUUUUUUAUUAAAAUUUAAAACAUUAUUUUUUUCA